GGAAGGGAAAACCGAGCAUUCUUCAAGCAUCCUAACGCCUGAAGCACUUCUGACCAUCAAAAGGAUUGCAUGCGAGAUAACAUGCAAGUUCUCUGGUAGUGGAGAUGUGAAUGAGACAAUGUUGGCAUUGUUUAACUCACUCUCAAACUAUUCAUGGGAUGCAAAACUGGUUUUAACACUUUGUGCCUUCGCGGUCAACUAUGGGGAGCUCUGUCUCAUUGUACAGCAGGCUAGCGUCAAUGCUCUCACAAAAUCCGUGGCCCUACUCAAGCAGUUGCCUGACAUCUAAGAGGACAAGGACACUCUGAAACAUCGUUUCACCGAACUCAACAACCUCACAAAGAAAAUUCUAGAUGUGACCAAGGAUAUCCUCGAAUUAAAGAGCUUCGCACAAAAUAUAAUACAUUGGCAACUACUACAAUGACCAUGGACAUGACCGAUAUCCCCAAAGCAGUUUACUUGACCAUCCAAGUCAUUAUGAAUUGUGCCUCACUGAUCGCUGACUUCAUACACUCGGGUCACGAGCACAUAAGCCCGAUGACAGGGGUUAAGGAUCUUGGCGACGAGUUUAAGAAAAUACAUGAGCUGAUGAUGCAAUUAGACUCGUGCCAUGAACACAUAGGUAAGAAAAAAAACAUGGAAGGUAUUUAGGUAAUCAUACGCCUCUUGGAAAUGAAACACAGCGACAACGUGAAAAUUCUCAAGGAAUUGAUUCACUCCGA